UUAAAGGUUGAUUAGUGUUUUGCC
rnacentral:siRNA from 1 species